rnacentral:rRNA from 1 species
GAAACGGUAGCUAAUACCGCAUAACGUCGCAAGACCAAAGAGGGGGACCUUCGGGCCUCUUGCCAUCGGAUGUGCCCAGAUGGGAUUAGCUAGUAGGUGGGGUAACGGCUCACCUAGGCGACGAUCCCUAGCUGGUCUGAGAGGAUGACCAGCCACACUGGAACUGAGACACGGUCCAGACUCCUACGGGAGGCAGCAGUGGGGAAUAUUGCACAAUGGGCGCAAGCCUGAUGCAGCCAUGCCGCGUGUAUGAAGAAGGCCUUCGGGUUGUAAAGUACUUUCAGCGGGGAGGAAGGGAGUAAAGUUAAUACCUUUGCUCAUUGACGUUACCCGCAGAAGAAGCACCGGCUAACUCCGUGCCAGCAGCCGCGGUAAUACGGAGGGUGCAAGCGUUAAUCGGAAUUACUGGGCGUAAAGCGCACGCAGGCGGUUUGUUAAGUCAGAUGUGAAAUCCCCGGGCUCAACCUGGGAACUGCAUCUGAUACUGGCAAGCUUGAGUCUCGUAGAGGGGGGUAGAAU